UACGGAGGAUCCAAGCGUUAUCCGGAUUUAUUGGGUUUAAAGGGUGCGUAGGCGGCCUUGUAAGUCAGCGGUGAAAUUUUGCAGCUUAACUGUAACAGUGCCGUUGAUACUGGGGAGCUAGGAUUUGGUUGCUGUGGGUGGAAUGUGUGGUGUAGCGGUGAAAUGCAUAGAUAUCACGAGGAACUCCGAUUGCGCAGGCAGCUUACUAAACUACUACUGACGCUCAGGCACGAAGGCGUGGGGAUCAAACAGGAUUAGAUA
rnacentral:rRNA from 1 species